rnacentral:rRNA from 1 species
CGGAUUGUAGUCUGCAACCCGACUACAUGAAGCCGGAAUCGCUAGUAAUCGCGAAUCAGAAUGUCGCGGUGAAUACGUUCCCGGGCCUUGUACACACCGCCCGUNACACCAUGGGAGUUUGUAACGCCCAAAGUCGGUGGCCUAACCUUUAUGGAGGGAGCCGCCUAAGGCGGGACAGAUGACUGGGGUGAAGUCGUAACAAGGUAGC